CUCCCGCUGCCUUCAGUCGGUCUCAACUCGGGCUGGCUGGAGGCAGGUAGGUGUUUUUAGUUCUCCCUCAUUUUAUGCUUUUUAAAGUCUGGUUUUAACUGGGGUUUUAACGGUUUUAGUGCAGAGAUACUCCGGUGGCAGCUUUUCUCCCCUGGAUCUGUGGUUUUAAUCAACACGGUUUCCCAGAGACUAUGGGUUGAGGAGGAAUUGGAAGUUUGUCAGCUUAGACCUGGUGUCAUUCCAUCAGUGUUAAACUUCCUGGCUCAUCUUGGAAGAGAACGUGCCAGAAAGACCACGACCAAGCAGCCUUGAGAUCUUAGGCAGCGUCUCCCUGAGUUCAAAGGUCCCUCUCUAUCUCCCCACACAUCCACCAACCACUGGAACACAUCUCCAAAGUUCUGCCGGGCCAGCUCAGCUUCCCCUCAGAAGAAGUUCCACCACCUGCCAGAUGAAGGAGCGUUUUGAGAGGCAGCUGGCAUCGUGAUUGGACUGUACUUUGGUCUGUUCCAAUCCAGCUUCAGCUCCAGAGACGGCAGGCGGGACGAGUCAACGGAGGCCGGGUGGACGAAGGCAUGCAGCUGAGUACAAUCCAGAAAACAACAGAGGAGGAGUGCAUCGGCCUAGAGCCAGAACAACCAGAGUAGCAUCGUAUGUCUCUUAGAAAACAUCAUAGUAUAGCCUUUGGUAUGAAAAAACGGCAUCAUAUACAUCGUAUAUUGUACAAAUAACAAGUCAAAGCAAAGAGACAUACAUUGUAGAAUUAAAAAUUAAAAAUAAAUUAAAAAUGGUGCUA